rnacentral:tRNA from 1 species
GCGCCCAUAGCUCAAUGGAUAGAGCGUCUGUCUUCGGAACAGAAGGUUGGGGGUUCAACUCCCUCUGGGCGCA